rnacentral:rRNA from 1 species
GUGGGGAAUCUUGCGCAAUGGUCUAACGACUGACGCAGCGACGCCGCGUGUGGGAGGACGCCUUUCGGGGUGUAAACCACUGUUGCCCGGGACGAACACCUCUUUGCGAAGAGGCUGAUGGUACCGGGUGAGGAAGCACCGGCUAACUCCGUGCCAGCAGCCGCGGUAAUACGGAGGGUGCGGGCGUUGUCCGGAAUCAUUGGGCGUAAAGGGCGCGUAGGUGGCCCGGUCAGUCUUUGGUGAAAGCGCGGGGCUCAACCCUGCGUCGGCCAGGGAUACUGCCGCGGCUCGAGCACUGUAGAGGCAGGCGGAAUUCCGGGUGUAGCGGUGGAAUGCGUAGAGAUCCGGAAGAACACCGGUGGCGAAGGCGGCCUGCUGGGCAGUUUGGCUGACACUGAGGCGCGACAGCGUGGGGAGCAAA